CUCCCGAAGGGUCAGAUUGGACCCGCGAGGCGGAAACACGACCUUGGAGUUCCGGCGAGCCCAGCCCCAGCAGGAGCGGCAGCAUGGAGGAGGUGCCCCACGGCUGCCCCGGGGCCGACAGCGCCCAGGCGGGCCGAGGAGCCUCGUGCCAGGGAUGCCCCAACCAGAGGCUGUGCGCGUCGGGAGCCGGCGCCGCACCUGACCCGGCCGUGGAGGAAAUCAAAGAGAAAAUGAAGACAGUGAAACACAGAAUCUUGGUGCUGUCUGGCAAAGGCGGUGUUGGGAAAAGCACGUUCAGUGCCCACCUCGCCCAUGGCCUGGCAGAGGAUGGAGACACACAGGUCGCUCUUCUGGACAUCGACAUCUGUGGGCCGUCGAUUCCCAAGAUCAUGGGCUUAGAAGGAGAGCAGGUUCACCAGAGUGGCUCCGGCUGGUCUCCAGUGUACGUGGAGGACAACCUAGGGGUGAUGUCUGUGGGUUUCCUGCUCAGCAGCCCUGAUGAUGCCGUCAUCUGGAGGGGACCAAAGAAAAACGGUAUGAUCAAGCAGUUCCUCCGUGACGUAGACUGGGGGGAUGUGGACUACCUCAUCAUAGACACCCCACCUGGCACAUCUGAUGAACAUCUCUCGGUUGUCCAGUAUCUGGCUGCGGCACACAUUGAUGGGGCGGUGAUCCUCACCACCCCUCAGGAGGUGGCCCUCCAGGAUGUCCGGAAGGAAAUCAGCUUCUGCCACAAGGUGAAGCUGCCCAUCAUAGGUGUGGUGGAGAACAUGAGCGGCUUCAUCUGCCCCAAGUGCAAGAAAGAGUCUCAGAUCUUCCCUCCCACGACUGGAGGUGCAGAAGCCAUGUGCCAGGACCUGAAGAUCCCUCUUCUGGGCAAAGUGCCACUGGAUCCACACAUAGGUAAGAGCUGUGACAAAGGCCAGUCAUUUUUUGCUGAAGCCCCAGAUUCACCAGCCACAGCAGCCUACAGAAGUAUAAUUCAGAGGAUCCAAGAGUUUUGUAGUUCUCGUCAGUCACAUAAUGAGAACCUCAUCAGUUCCUGAAUGGGAUGGAGCCAAGAGCCAGCUGCUAACUACAGAACUGGCAAACUGAAUGUCCAGCUGCACUUGGCCCUAAACAUUGGGGUUCCAGCUUGGACUUGCUCCAGGUCAACUUGGAGGACUGGGGAGAGUCCACCUAGGCCAGUGGCACAGCUGGUCAGGAGCUGCAUGUCCCACAAGUGCCCAGGCCUCUGAGCUGCAGCCAUUGCUCACCUAACGCUGCUGGAUGUCCAGCCCUUCAAGCCUGGGUUUCUGAAAGUCACCUGGGGAAGCCUGCAAGGCAAGAAGAACCAUGACUGUCCCAACAAAGAGCAGGCUCUGGAGAGACCCAUAGCCACAAGCAGCAUCGAUUGGACCACCACACAGCAAACAUGUCAGACCAAAUGCUCACCUACCCCUCCAAGAAAUAUUUCCUGGCUUCAAAACCAAAACAAGG